CCCCUCUUCCAGCACAUUUCAUCUUCUGGCUUCGUCUGUUAAUCUCCACUUUCUUUAAUUACUUGCUUUGUCUGGCAAGACAAAUUAUUUCCUUUUAUUUUUUCAGUUACAUUCACUCACCACAGGAGGGCACUUUCAGGGAUCUGUCCCUACCCUAGCUCGGAUGGCAAGCUUAGCCGUUUCAGCAGCUAGCAGUCUGUGUCUUCCGAACCAGAAACAGGCGGAGGGUUGCCCUUUUUCACGGCGUUCCACUCGCCAGAUAUCUUCAGUAUCCUUCACUGAUGUGGAUUCUUUACCUCUAGUACCUCGUCGCCACUGUAGUAUUUGUGGAGACAUAAUAACACACGCAGACACUGAGCCAAGACAAACCCGACAACUGCACGCACCUGUUUGUCACCCUGGACCUCGGAGCCGCCCUGCACCUAGAUUCCACGCCAACCCACAGCCACUCGGCCCACCCCCCUGACACUGUUGUUAUACCUACUGCCAUGAUGAAUGAAGCCCAGUCAAUGUCAUUGUCAUUUAUGCUUGAAACCAUCUCAUAUAUAAUAAAAUAGAAAUUAAUUA
ensembl:lncRNA